UACGAAGGGGGCUAGCGUUGCUCGGAAUCACUGGGCGUAAAGGGUGCGUAGGCGGGUCUUUUAAGUCAGGGGUGAAAUCCUGGAGCUCAACUCCAGAACUGCCUUUGAUACUGAGGAUCUUGAGUUCGGGAGAGGUGAGUGGAACUGCGAGUGUAGAGGUGAAAUGCGUAGAUAUCUGGAGGAACACCGGUGGCGAAGGCGGCAUCCUGGACCGACACUGACGCUGAGGAGCGAAAGCCAGGGGAGCAAAGCGGG
rnacentral:rRNA from 1 species